rnacentral:rRNA from 1 species
UUUUUAAAUCUUCCUAGAGGAGUUUGCCACCUAACCCGAUAACCCACGAAAUACCUCUCCGCUUUUAGAAAAUUCAGCAUGUAUACCAUCGUCGUCAGUCUACCUCUUAAGAGAAGUAUACUUAACGGACUACACCCUUUACGUCAGAUCGAGGUGCAGCUAAUAAAGCGGGGGUAGGUGAACUACAAUAACUCUACAGCUAUCUUAAAACCCAAUUAUGGAUAUAAGUUUGAAAUGGCCAUUUGAAACAGGAUUUAGUAGUAAUAUCCAAAAGAGAAUGGAUAUGAAAUUUUAAGCUCUAAAAUACGC